rnacentral:sRNA from 1 species
UCCUUUCCUUUAUUAGUGAUGAUAAAAAGGUCAUGGGAUUGGUGCCUUUCAUUUGGAAUUUUACUUCUAUGGCCCCUAUACCAUAAAUUGUAUAUCAUAAUUCUAAUUGUCUGCCAAAAACCGAUUUUAAAAUGUAUGAUACCUUUAACUUUCACCUGGCUUGCGAUCGGUCACAUCGUUUGCCUUUAUCUUCUGUUGAAUGCCACUCGAGCCCUCAACUGGUACCAAUUUCCAACACAAACGGAAAACUCCCUAGGCAAAAUUUACAAAUUAUAUUAUGAUCGAGACGAUAUGUGGUGGAUUUUUGUUUCCUUUGCCUUUACCUGGUUUAGUUUCUCGCUCCAAAUAGC